rnacentral:rRNA from 1 species
CCCUAUGGGGUGCAGCAGGCGAGAAAACUUUGCAAUGUGCGAAAGCACGACAAGGUUAAUCCGAGUGGUUUCUGCUAAAGGAACCUUUUGUCGGUCCUAGAAACACCGAUGAAUAAGGGGUGGGCAAGUUCUGGUGUCAGCCGCCGCGGUAAAACCAGCACCUCAAGUUGUCAGGAUGAUUAUUGGGCCUAAAGCAUCCGUAGCCGGCUCUGUUAGUUUUCGGUUAAAUCUGUACGCUCAACGUACAGGCUGCCGGGAAUACUGCAGAGCUAGGGAGUGGGAGAGGUAGACGGUACUCGGUAGGAAGGGGUAAAAUCCUUUGAUCUAUUGAUGACCACCUGUGGCGAAGGCGGUCUACCAGAACACGUCCGACGGUGAGGGAUGAAAGCUGGGGGAGCAAACCGGAUUAGAUACCCGGGUAGUCCCAGCUGUAAACUAUGCAAACUCAGUGAUGCAUUGGCUUGUGGCCAAUGCAGUGCUGCAGGGAAGCCGUUAAGUUUGCCGCCUGGGAAGUACGUACGCAAGUAUGAAACUUAAAGGAAUUGGCGGGGGAGCACCACAAGGGGUGAAGCCUGCGGUUCAAUUGGAGUCAACGCCAGAAAUCUUACCCGGAGAGACAGCAGAAUGAAGGUCAAGCUGAAGACUUUACCAGACAAGCUGAGAGGUAGUGCAUGGCC